rnacentral:rRNA from 1 species
AUUGAACGCUGGCGGCAGGCCUAACACAUGCAAGUCGAACGAGUGGCGGACGGGUGAGUAAUGUCUGGGAAACUGCCCGAUGGAGGGGGAUAACUACUGGCAACGGUAGCUAAUACCGCAUACCAUCGGAUGUGCCCAGAUGGGAUUAGCUUGUAGGUGAGGUAACGGCUCACCUAGGCGACGAUCCCUAGCUGGUCUGAGAGGCUGACCAGCCACACUGGGAGUGAGACACGGUCAAGACGCGUGCGGGUGGCAGCAGGGGGGAAUAGUUCACAAUGGGCGCAAGCCUGAUGCAGCCAUGCCGCGUGUAUGAAGAAGGCCUUCGGUUUGUAUAGUACUUUCAGCGGGGAGGCGUUACCCGCAGAAGAAGCACCGGCUAACUCCGUGCCAGCAGCCGCGGUAAUAC